rnacentral:rRNA from 1 species
AGUUCGGAUUGGAGGCUGAAACCCGCCUCCAUGAAGUUGGAUUCGCUAGUAAUCGCGCAUCAGCCAUGGCGCGGUGAAUACGUUCCCGGGCCUUGUACACACCGCCCGUCAAGCCAUGGGAGCCGGUAACACCCGAAGCCUGUAGUCUAACCGCAAGGAGGACGCAGUCGAAGGUGGGAUUGAUGACUGGGGUGAAGUCGUAACAAGGUAGC